rnacentral:rRNA from 1 species
GUUCUUCAAAACUUAACUUCUUUCAAUAAUAUGUCAUUUAAGCGGAAAGCUAAAAGACUAAAGACUAAAGCGAAAUAGAGUAGCUUUAAGCUUUGAGUUUUAUCCUUUCAGCUCAAAUAAAAGUAUUUAGGUGCCUAUAUCGGUGGUGUCCACCUCUUCCCAUUCCGAACAGAGAAGUUAAGCCCACCAGAGCCGAUGGUACUGCGGUAACACGUGGGAGAGUAGGUCGGUGCCAAAU